CGGUGGAUAGAGGAAGACACCAUGAAUCAUUGGCCGACAAUAGCGAGAAGCUGGGAGCACUUGACAUAGCUGAGGAAUCCCUGGUUCACAGCAGCGAGGAAAAGUAGGAAGGACUUGCGUACUCACUGGUUCGCAAAUCCUAGUGGUGACGCCAUACAAGAACCCCACAAAUCUAGAUUCCUCUAUCCCAUACAUCGUCUUCAUCCUGGCGAACACACGAGCUGUUAAUAGACUAUCAGAUCCUGCUUGAUGAGACCCUCCAACUCGCUUGACUCCUAGAAUCUUAGCCAAUUUCUCCAAUCCAAGCUCACCCCUGUGCAGGUCAUCGUAGAAUCGUGCCAAGUACUUGACAUCCAACACACAGCACCCAAAUACCGUGGCAAUAAUCUCAGUGAAAUCCAACAUAGAUACGGGCAGUGGUUUCUUGGUAACCAGCUUCACCAUGUAGGCCAAGUCAUAUAGCCCAUGAAAAGUUAGCCACUUCAAGUCUCUAUGUCUGCUUAAAACAUGAGUGAACAUGUUUGAGAAAAACAGCUGGUCGAUCCCAUUAAUCCUCAGCUCCUCAAAAUCAAUUCCACUUUCCUUUAGAAACUCAAUGGACUUAGGAUCAUAAAAAACCUCCGUUUCUAUCAAGAACUUGAAAUUAAACUCCCAAGUUCCAGCGAUAAUUCCAUUCUCAUCGGAAAGUGUAAUACCCAGUUGGAUAAUUUUCAUGUUAUCAACGUUGAACUUCAUAUCAGCGAAUGCCGAUAACUCAUCAGACCGGCGAGGGGUUUUCCGAAGAAAUCCAGGGAACUCCGAAUCCAUGGAAACCACCUUGUGGUGGUGCAACGCCGCAUCCAUUUUUUGCAGUUCUUCCAUGAGAUUACACGCCCAAACUUGCCUAAUCCCCAUCUCGCAAUGAUCG
rnacentral:misc_RNA from 1 species